UAGAAUGGCGGCUAUAGAAGAAAUAGCAGGAUGGAUGUGCUUUGCAGUGACAAAAAUAGAACUUUGACAUUGAACAAACUUUCAGUUUGACAAAAAUCUCAUAGAGUUACUUCUUUUGGUCACGAAUAGGCCUGAGCCGGUAUUCACACUGUGCAUUUCCUUCCAUUCAACCUGAUUGAUAAGCGCACAGCUCUCACAUACAUUAACAGUGAAGGAAAAAUGGUGUGCAAGCAAAGGUGCACCUGAGCAGAGAAGAUGGCACAAGUGAUGAAUAAGUUGAGGCUCUCAUUGCCAAAAGCUUGAUGAAAGCUUUAUAUUAGCUCUCAGGGUAAGUUGGAUCCUCUUAUUUGAAGGCAAGAACAAAUAGUAAGAGUUGUUCAAAUUUUAGGCAUGCGAACCAAAAAUAAGCUCUCCUUAAUUGGAGAGCCUGGUGUUGGAAAAACAGCAAUAGCCGAGGGACUUGCUCAGCGGAUUGCAAGUGGUGAUGUUCCCGAAACAGUAGAGGGAGAAAAGCAUGAUUGAUUUUGUCUUCACAUGAGUAAUCAGAGGAAAAGCUGAUAACUGCAGUGGGGAAAAAAAGCUUAUACUUUUGUUAUGGGCACGCCAAACCCAGCGAAACUUGCCAACUUUCCUGAGUUAGAGUGUGGAUGGAUGUAGCAAAAAAACCGGACGCUUUUUUAUGGAGGCCAACGAGUGAGAUGAGUACCAAUGAAGAAGCAAUUUCAAGUAAUGUGGCAUGACUUGUUGAUAAUAUUUUAAAGGGGCAAUGAAGACUCAUGCUUUCGCCAACUAUCUAC